ensembl:lncRNA
CCCUGCUGUGGCAGGUGGCAGUGGCUGGGAUCAGGCCGCUGAGGAGGGACAGGUGUCUGGUCGCGGGUCAGGCGUGGCCGGUGCUCUCUCAGCCCGGGCAGGCGCAGUGUCUUGACAGAGCCUCGGGGAAGGUUGCUCGGCAGCCCUGCCCGCGGCUCCGUCUCUGGAUGGUCGAAGGCGGGGCGGCGGCCUGAGGGAGGAAUGGGGCUUGGUGUCUGGGCCGCCUGGUGUGUAGGUCCUGGCUCCGGAGCGGGCUGGGCUAGCGGCGCGUUGUUUCGGGGCAGGAGGACCUGGCCUUGGAGACGCGCUUGACCACCGAGCAGGUCUACAACUGGUUUGCCAAUUACCGGCGGCGCCAGAGGGCCCUUGCGCAGCGCGGGGCGCCGGCCCAGGAAGCAGCCAAGGACCCGAGGGCGAGGGAGGCGGGUUCCCAGCCUGCAGACCACCCCCACCUUGGCCGUGGGAGCUUGGACAGGCCUCAGGGCCCAGCACCACCUGAGGAAAGUGGGCCUGUCCAGACCCAGCAGACCCCUCAAGAGCCAUGGAAGCCGCUGGCCCUGAGCCCAGAUUUCUCCAGAGAGGAGGCUGUGCCAAUGUCACUGGCCCCCAGGUCUCUGCAGCCUGGUGAGAUGUACCCGGAGGGCCUGGCUUCCAUCUGGCCGCUGUCCCCCCUGUCUGCCCUGGCCUUGGACUCUGCCCUCUGGCUGCGGGCAGUGAUGUGCUGGACCCCUCACUGGCUGCCCCCGAGUCCUGGCUGAUGUCCCUCGCCCUGGUGUCCUCCAAGGAAGUUUCCUUCCAGACUGGGCAGCUGGUCCACGAUCCCGGGCUGAACUUCACCACACACCCUCCUGACGCUGCUGUGGCCACUCCUGCCGCUCUGGGAUUCGCUGAGCCUCCCAGCGGCAGCCCCGCGAAUGCGGGCCAAGAGGAGGGCCCUGGCACCCACGGUGGCCAGGCAGGAGGGCAGCCAGAUGGCUUCCUGGUGACACAGCCCCCAUUGCAGGCGAGCGGCUUCCUGCUCACCCAGAGGUAAGCUGCAGAGCCGGGCGGGUGCCGCUUCCUUGGGCACGGAGGGGUCGUGUAUGGUCGGUGGAUUCUCCGCACCCAGCUGUGUGGUUCGCGUCCUCUCCUAGGGUUUUCUGGAAACUGCAACACCCCUCCACCUGCCAAAAGAAGGUGGUAGUUUUUCCCUCAGACAGAAGAACGUCUGGAAGCAUGGGCGCAGGUGGGGGCAUCCGUUCUGAGGACGGUGCCCGGGGCCUCAACGCUUCCCCACAGUCCCCCAGGGCCUCGGCAGCCCCUUCCGGGCAUUUUUGUUCCCCGGACAGGGUCUGCUUUAGUUUCUGAGCAACAUCAAGACCCCGGUUUUAUAUCCAAAGUGCAGUUUUCAACAGGACAGCCUAGUGCUAAGGCUGUGGCCGGGGCCCUGGGGGCCGUGACAGCUGCACUGACAGCCUCAGAGGAGGGCGAGGCAGGCCGGGGUCCUCAGGGGAGGGAAUCUGCCACGGGGGCCGCAGGACUGGGCACCCCGCAUAUGGGGCCUCUGUAACCUGGGAGCUGGGGGCCGUGUGCCCAGUGAGGGCGGAAUUACACAGAGACGUGGGAGAGAAGGAAGCAGCUCCCCAAGUCACAGGCUCUGUUCCUUGUGGGAACAGCCGGAUGGUGCGAAGCUGCAGUGCACACCGGGGACUCACUUUUCCAUCUAUGCUGGGAGCCGCGUGGGCAGAGCAGCCCCUCGGCCUCUCCUUGCAUCUAGGCCUCCCCACCGGCCGACUCAGCCCUGGCCUCGAUGCCCAGCCCAUCUCUGCUCUGCUCUGACCGCCUGGUUCCUUUAGCAACAGCUUCCUUGGGGUGCAGUUGGCAUAAGGGAAAGCCACGUGUUUCGAUGGUGCAGAUGAAAGGUUUCUGAGCGUGGCUUCUGUAUCCCCACGAACUAGAACCAGGCUGCAGGUCCUGGGCCCCAAGACUGUUCCCACCCGCCUCCACCACCAACCCCAGGACCAGGGCUCUGCCUUCUUUAGCUGUGCUUUUGA